rnacentral:lncRNA from 1 species
CAAGCGCGUACGCAGAAGCGUGCGCGCGCCCGUUCAACGUCCGGAGCAUCGGUGCAGUUUCGAGGGUCACCAGUGAAAAGUUGUGCAGAGCCCAACAUGAGCUUCAUUUCCAAGCUGCCACCUAUCUCUGCCUCCUGCGUAGCAUCCGGAAACAUGUGGCCCUACAUCAGGAAUUUCAUGGCAAGGGUGAGCGCUCGGUGGAGGAGUCUGCUGGCUUGGUGGGUCUCAAGUUGCCCCAUCAGCCUGGAGGGAAGGGCUGGGAGCCAUGAACAUGGAGAAUAUCCUUGGAUGCUGCAUUCAUAGGAGAAUUGAAUAAUUUCUAUCAAUAUGUAUUUAUCAUUAAAUUUUUUUUAAG